CCCCUCUUAGCUCAGUGGUUAGAGCAGGCGACUCAUAAUCGCUUGGUCGCUGGUUCAAGUCCGGCAGGGGGGACCA
rnacentral:tRNA from 1 species